rnacentral:rRNA from 1 species
ACCUGCCCUAUGAAUUUAAAAGUUUAAAUGGCUGCGGUACUCUGACCGUGCAAAGGUAGCAUAAUAAUUAGUUUCUUAAUUGGGAACUGGAAUGAAUGGUCGAACGAGAAAAAGACUGUCUCAAUUUAAUUUAAAUUAGAAUUUUAUUUUUAAGUUAAAAAGCUUAAAUGAUUUUAAAAGACGAGAAGACCCUAUAGAGUUUUAUAAAUAUUUAAUUAUUUGGAAGUUAAAGUAUUAUAGAUUUGAAUAGUUAAAUAUUUAUUUGGUUGGGGCGAUUAAAAAAUUAAAAAAACUUUUUUUAAAUAAUACCAUUGAUAUAUGAUUAAGUGAUCCAUUAAUAAUGAUUAUAAGAUU